AGUUAAUUAUCUUAAUUAAAGAAGUUACUUUGAAAGUAAAAUAAAUGGAUUAAAUACCAUAUUAACUU
rnacentral:tRNA from 1 species